GCCGAGGUAGCUCAGUGGUAGAGCGAUGCGCUGAAAACGCAGGCGUGGGCAGUCCGAUUCUGCCCCUCGGCACCA
rnacentral:tRNA from 1 species